rnacentral:rRNA from 1 species
UGGGGAAUAUUGCACAAUGGACGGAAGUCUGAUGCAGCAACGCCGCGUGCGGGAUGACGGCCUUCGGGUUGUAAACCGCUUUUUCUCAUGACGAAGUUUUUUGACGGUAGUGGGGGAAGAAGCACCGGCUAACUACGUGCCAGCAGCCGCGGUGAUACGUAGGGUGCGAGCGUUGUCCGGAAUUAUUGGGCGUAAAGAGCUUGUAGGCGGUUUGUCGCGUCGAUAGUGCAAACUCAGUGCUUAACGCUGAGCCUGCUGUUGAUACGGCCAGACUAGAGGAAGGUAGGGGAGAAUGGAAUUCCCGGUGGAGCGGUGGAAUGCGCAGAUAUCGGGAGGAACACCGGUGGCGAAGGCGGUUCUCUGGGCCUUUCCUGACGCUGAGAAGCGAAAGCGUGGGGAGCGAACAGG